GGACAAGGAAGACCAAUUCAUAACAAUUUCUCUGCACCUUCUCUUCCAGGGGUAGCCCUGCAGCCCGCUACAUGCUUCCCAGGCUGGAGAACACAAACUCACCUUCAGGUACAGCAUUAUAAAGCCUGAUGUGAUCUUCAAGCUGGAGCAAGAAUCAAAAUGUGUAAACCAGCAAAUUCCAGGAAGCUUGAUGAAAUGCCAUUUGGGAAAAAACAUGCGUCUAAUGUACCUGAGAACCAACUCCAAAGUGGGGAAAAUCUCAGUCAGCAUGACAAGAUGCACACUUGUCAGCAAUCUUUGGAACACAGAGACAACAAGAAAGCUUUCGGCAGCAGGAAGAAUAUAU